rnacentral:rRNA from 1 species
AGUGAACGCUGGCGGUAGGCCUAACACAUGCAAGUCGAACGGCAGCACAGUAAGAGCUUGCUCUUACGGGUGGCGAGUGGCGGACGGGUGAGGAAUACAUCGGAAUCUACUUUUUCGUGGGGGAUAACGUAGGGAAACUUACGCUAAUACCGCAUACGACCUACGGGUGAAAGCAGGGGAUCUUCGGACCUUGCGCGAUUGAAUGAGCCGAUGUCGGAUUAGCUAGUUGGCGGGGUAAAGGCCCACCAAGGCGACGAUCCGUAGCUGGCCUGAGAGGAUGAUCAGCCACACUGGAGCUGAGACACAGUCCAGACUCCUACGGGAGGCAGCAGUGGGGAAUAUUGGACAAUGGGCGCAAGCCUGAUCCAGCCAUACCGCGUGGGUGAAGAAGGCCUUCGGGUUGUAAAGCCCUUUUGUUGGGAAAGAAAAGCAGCAGGUUAAUACCCCGCUGUUCUGACGGUACCCAAAGAAUAAGCACCGGCUAACUUCGUG